GUCAACAGGGUCGUCCCGCCCCACGUUUAACUUCGCUAUUAAAACUCUUUGCGAAUCCAUAUUAGGGGAUGGGAAAGCCCGUGCUUGCUGAGAUCCAGAAUCAGAAUCCUGCCGUGUCAGUCGAGGUCUGACCUCCCAGAAGGGAGCACUCAUUUGCCACUUCCCAUCCUCGGGGCUCUCCUGGUCCUCUGUGAUGCCACUACAGUAAGCGUUCCACCCUGACAUGCGCAGUCCCUCGGAGACCCCUCAGCCGCGCCUCCUGCUGGUUUGAACAGAGCUGGCUUCCAAGUCCUCAGCUGCGUCCUGCCUUCUCCAGAACUCCCCAAACCCUCGGAAUUUCCUAGGUGAUGAGAGCAGCAAAGAUGUCUCCUGUUACGUUAAUGAGAUGACCUCCGGAUGCACUGAAGGACGGAGGCUAGUUGUCAGAAGAACCAACCAUGAGAUUAGAGGGUUGCAACUUCAGUGCCACCUACCCCAACAUGUCCCCACCUGGACCUGCAGGAAAGGGAGAGGGGCUGGAGUUUCAAUCAAUCGCCAAUGGCCAGUGAUUUAAUCGUUCACACCUAUGUAACGAAGCCUCCAUCGAAACCCAAAGGGACGGGUCCAAAGAGCUUCCGGGUUGGUGAACAGAUGGAGAUUUGGAGAGAGUGGCACCCCGGGAGAGGUCAUGGAAGCUCCACGCCCUUUCCCCAGCCCUUACCCUAUGUGUCUCUUCCAUCUGGCUGUUUCUGAGUUGUAUGCUUUUACCAUAAACCAGUAAUAUAGUCAGUAAAAUGUUUCCCUGAGUUCAGUGAGCUGCUCUAGCAAAUUAAUUGAACAAGGAGGGGGCCUUGGGAACUCUGAUCUACAGCCAGCAGGUCAGAAGCCCAGGUGACAACCUGGACUUGCAGUUGGCAUCUGAAGCAGGGGCAGGGGCAGUCUUGUGGGACUGAGCCCUUAACCUGUGCGAUCUGACGCUAUCUGCAGGUGGAGAGUGUCGGGACUGAGUUAAAGCGUAGGACACCCAGCUGGUGUCACAGAGGAUCACUUGGUGGUGGGCAAAACCCACACACACUGGAAUUGGUGUCAGAAUCUAAGGCGGGUUAACCUGGGAAGGUUUCAGGAUGGAUGUGAGAUCUGAGUGAGGUCUUGACCAGACGAUGGAUUGGCAGGGAAGGUGGGAUGGACAUUCCAGGUGGGCACAAAGGGGCAGGAGACAGAAGCAAGUUGU